AUCAAACGCUGGCGGCGUGCCUAACACAUGCAAGUCGAACGGGGAAAGCUUUCGGGCGAGUACUAGUGGCGCACGGGUGAGGAACACGUGGAUAAUCUGCCUUGGAGAGGGGGAUAACUAGUCGAAAGAUUAGCAAAUACCGCAUAAGACCACAGGAACUGAGGUUCUAGGGGUCAAAGGUUUUUCGCUCCAAGAUGAGUCCGCGUAAGAUUAGCUAGUUGGUGAGGUAAUGGCUCACCAAGGCGACGAUCUUUAACUGGUCUGAGAGGAUGAUCAGUCACAAUGGAACUGAGACACGGUCCAGACGCCUACGGGAGGCAGCAGUAGGGAAUAUUGCACAAUGGAGGAAACUCUGAUGCAGCGACGCCGCGUGAGUGAUGAAGGCCUUCGGGUCGUAAAGCUCUGUCGCAGGGGAAUAAAAAAAUGAAGGUACCCUGCAAGAAAGGAUCGGCUAACUUCGUGCCAGCAGCCGCCGUAA
rnacentral:rRNA from 1 species